rnacentral:rRNA from 1 species
UGCAGUCGGGCGGUAGCACAGAGGAGCUUGCUCCUUGGGUGACGAGCGGCGGACGGGUGAGUAAAGUCUGGGGAUCUGCCUGAUGGAGGGGGAUAACUACUGGAAACGGUAGCUAAUACCGCAUGACGUCUUCGGACCAAAGUGGGGGACCUUCGGGCCUCACGCCAUGAGAUGAACCCAGAUGGGAUUAGCUGGUAGGUGAGGUAACGGCUCACCUAGGCGACGAUCCCUAGCUGGUCUGAGAGGAUGACCAGCCACACUGGAACUGAGACACGGUCCAGACUCCUACGGGAGGCAGCAGUGGGGAAUAUUGCACAAUGGGGGAAACCCUGAUGCAGCCAUGCCGCGUGUGUGAAGAAGGCCUUCGGGUUGUAAAGCACUUUCAGCGGGGAGGAAGGCAAUAAACUUAAUAAGUUUGUUGAUUGACGUUACCCGCAGAAGAAGCACCGGCUAACUCCGUGCCAGCAGCCGCGGUAAUACGGAGGGUGCAAGCGUUAAUCGGAAUGACUGGGCGUAAAGCGCACGCAGGCGGUCUGUUAAGUUGGAUGUGAAAUCCCCGGGCUCAACCCGGGAACAGCAUUCAAAACUGACAGGCUAGAGUCUCGUAGAGGGGGGUAGAAUUCCAGGUGUAGCGGUGAAAUGCGUAGAGAUCUGGAGGAAUACCGGUGGCGAAGGCGGCCCCCUGGACGAAGACUGACGCUCAGGUGCGAAAGCGUGGGGAGCAAACAGGAUUAGAUACCCUGGUAGUCCACGCCGUAAACGAUGUCGACUUGGAGGCUGUGGUCUUGAACCGUGGCUUCCGGAGCUAACGCGUUAAGUCGACCGCCUGGGGAGUACGGCCGCAAGGUUAAAACUCAAAUGAAUUGACGGGGGCCCGCACAAGCGGUGGAGCAUGUGGUUUAAUUCGAUGCAACGCGAAGAACCUUACCUACUCUUGACAUCCAGAGAAGACUGUAGAGAUACGGUUGUGCCUUCGGGAGCUCUGAGACAGGUGCUGCAUGGCUGUCGUCAGCUCGUGUUGUGAAAUGUUGGGUUAAGUCCCGCAACGAGCGCAACCCUUAUCCUUUGUUGCCAGCGAUACGGUCGGGAACUCAAAGGAGACUGCCGGUGAUAAACCGGAGGAAGGUGGGGAUGACGUCAAGUCAUCAUGGCCCUUACGAGUAGGGCUACACACGUGCUACAAUGGCGCAUACAAAGAGAAGCGAGCCUGCGAGGGUGAGCGGACCUCAUAAAGUGCGUCGUAGUCCGGAUUGGAGUCUGCAACUCGACUCCAUGAAGUCGGAAUCGCUAGUAAUCGUAGAUCAGAAUGCUACGGUGAAUACGUUCCCGGGCCUUGUACACACCGCCCGUCACACCAUGGGAGUGGGUUGCAAAAGAAGUAGGUAGCUUAACCUUA